GGGACCGUAGCUCAGUAGGUCAGAGCGCUGGUGUGCACAGUAAAAAAACAGAGGUCGCAGGUUCAAGUCCUGCCAGUUCCA
rnacentral:tRNA from 1 species